rnacentral:rRNA from 1 species
GACGAACGCUGGCGGCGUGCUUAACACAUGCAAGUCGAACGGAAAGGCCCUGCUUUUGUGGGGUGCUCGAGUGGCGAACGGGUGAGUAACACGGGAGUAACCUGCCCUUGACUUUGGGAUAACUUCAGGAAACUGGGGCUAAUACCGGAUAGGAGCUCCUGCUGCAUGGUGGGGGUUGGAAAGUUUCGGCGGUUGGGGAUGGACUCGCGGCUUAUCAGCUUGUUGGUGGGGUAGUGGCUUACCAAGGCUUUGACGGGUAGCCGGCCUGAGAGGGUGACCGGCCACAUUGGGACUGAGAUACGGCCCAGACUCCUACGGGAGGCAGCAGUGGGGAAUAUUGCACAAUGGGCGGAAGCCUGAUGCAGCAACGCCGCGUGCGGGAUGACGGCCUUCGGGUUGUAAACCGCUUUCGCCUGUGACGAAGCGUGAGUGACGGUAAUGGGUAAAGAAGCACCGGCUAACUACGUGCCAGCAGCCGCGGUGAUACGUAGGGUGCGAGCGUUGUCCGGAUUUAUUGGGCGUAAAGGGCUCGUAGGUGGUUGAUCGCGUCGGAAGUGUAAUCUUGGGGCUUAACCCUGAGCGUGCUUUCGAUACGGGUUGACUUGAGGAAGGUAGGGGAGAAAUGGAAUUCCUGGUGGAGCGGUGGAAUGCGCAGAUAUCAGGAGGAACACCAGUGGCGAAGGCGGUUCCUCUGGGCCUUUCCUGACGCUGAGGAGCGAAAGCGUGGGGAGCGAACAGGCUUAGAUACCCUGGUAGUCCACGCUGUAAACGGUGGGUACUAGGUGUGGGGUCCAUUCCACGGGUUCCGUGCCGUAGCUAACGCUUUAAGUACCCCGCCUGGGGAGUACGGCCGCAAGGCUAAAACUCAAAGGAAUUGACGGGGCCCCGCACAAGCGGCGGAGCAUGCGGAUUAAUUCGAUGCAACGCGUAGAACCUUACCUGGGUUUGACAUGGAUCGGGAGUGCUCAGAGAUGGGUGUGCCUCUUUUGGGGUCGGUUCACAGGUGGUGCAUGGCUGUCGUCAGCUCGUGUCGUGAGAUGUUGGGUUAAGUCCCGCAACGAGCGCAACCCUUGUUCACUGUUGCCAGCACGUUAUGGUGGGGACUCAGUGGAGACCGCCGGGGUCAACUCGGAGGAAGGUGGGGAUGACGUCAAGUCAUCAUGCCCCUUAUGUCCAGGGCUUCACGCAUGCUACAAUGGCUGGUACAGAGAGUGGCGAGCCUGUAAGGGUGAGCGAAUCUCGGAAAGCCGGUCUCAGUUCGGAUUGGGGUCUGCAACUCGACCUCAUGAAGUCGGAGUCGCUAGUAAUCGCAGAUCAGCAACGCUGCGGUGAAUACGUUCCCGGG